CGCUAGCGGCAGGCCUUAUACAUGCAAGUCGAACGGUAACAUUGGUGCUUGCACCAGAUGACGAGUGGCGCACGGGUGCGUAACGCGUAUGCAACCUACCUUUUACUAGAGUAUAGCCCAGAGAAAUUUGGAUUAAUCCUCUAUAACAUCUUUUAAUUUCAUGAUUAAUUGAUUAAAGUUUUAACGGUAAAAGAUGGGCAUGCGUCCUAUUAGUUUGUAGGUGAGGUAACGGCUCACCUAGACUACGAUAGGUAGGGGCCCUGAGAGGGGGAUCCCCCACACUGGUACUGAGACACGGACCAGACUCCUACGGGAGGCAGCAGUAAGGAAUAUUGGACAAUGGACGAAAGUCUGAUCCAGCCAUGCCGCGUGCAGGAUGAAAGCCCUAUGGGUUGUAAACUGCUUUUAUACAGGAAGAAACACUCCGACGUGUCGGAGCUUGACGGUACUGUAAGAAUAAGGAUCGGCUAACUCCGUGCCAGCAGCCGCGGUAAUACGGAGGAUCCAAGCGUUAUCCGGAAUCAUUGGGUUUAAAGGGUCCGCAGGCGGUCUUUUAAGUCAGAGGUGAAAGCCUACAGCUCAACUGUAGAACGGCCUUUGAUACUGAAAGACUUGAGUUAUUGUGAAGUGGUUAGAAUGUGUGGUGUAGCGGUGAAAUGCAUAGAUAUCACACAGAAUACCGAUUGCGAAGGCAGAUCACUAACAAUAUACUGACGCUCAUGGACGAAAGCGUGGGGAGCGAACAGGAUUAGAUACCCUGGUAGUCCACGCCGUAAACGAUGGAUACUAGCUGUUCGUCUAACAUUGGUUAGAUGAGUGGCUAAGCGAAAGUGAUAAGUAUCCCACCUGGGGAGUACGGUCGCAAGACUGAAACUCAAAGGAAUGGACGGGG
rnacentral:rRNA from 1 species